CCCUUAGAUGUUCUGGGCCGCACGCGCGCUACACUGAUGAAUUCAACGAGCACUAACCUGUGCAGAAAUGUUCGGGUAAUCUUGUGAAAUUUCAUCGUGAUGGGGAUUGAUUAUUGCAAUUAUUAAUCAUAAACGAGGAAUGCCUAGUAAGCGUGAGUCAUCAGCUCACGUUGAUUGCGUCCCUGCCCUUUGUACACACCGCCCGUCGCUCCUACCGAUUGAAUGUGCUGGUGAAAAGUUCGGAUUGGGAAUAGGAGACGGCAACGUAUCCUGUUUCUGAGAAAAUCUUUAAACCCUCCCAUUUAGAGGAAGGAGAAGUCGUAACA
rnacentral:rRNA from 1 species